rnacentral:rRNA from 2 species
GGCGACGACGGGUAGCCGGCCUGAGAGGGUGACCGGCCACACUGGGACUGAGACACGGCCCAGACUCCUACGGGAGGCAGCAGUGGGGAAUAUUGCACAAUGGGCGAAAGCCUGAUGCAGCGACGCCGCGUGAGGGAUGACGGCCUUCGGGUUGUAAACCUCUUUCAGUAGGGAAGAAGCGAAAGUGACGGUACCUGCAGAAGAAGCGCCGGCUAACUACGUGCCAGCAGCCGCGGUAAUACGUAGGGCGCAAGCGUUAUCCGGAAUUAUUGGGCGUAAAGAGCUCGUAGGCGGUUUGUCGCGUCUGCUGUGAAAGGCCAGGGCUCAACCUGGUUCUGCAGUGGGUACGGGCAGACUUGAGUGAUGUAGGGGAGACUGGAAUUCCUGGUGUAGCGGUGA